ensembl:lncRNA
CUUUACUUCUUUUUACAAUAAAUAUUUGCCAGCAAUAGCACUCAAUAGUUCUGAAUUAAAACCUGUCAAAAUGAAGUUCCUAGCAGCAAAAAUUAACACGAAUCCUGAUGCAAUGGAGGGGAUUUUAUAAUCUAAUGACAGAGUAUGGAUACAAUCAAUUCCUGAUUUUCUGAGCUAAGUUCAGUGAUAAGAGAAAAUCCAGAAAUCAUUUUGUUUGGCUUUAGAAUAUAUUUUCAAAUACAGGUAUGUCAAGCAUUUUAAGAAUGUACAACAUUUCAAACUAUAUAAUUAGUCACAUUGAGAAGCUCUGUCUCAGAAAGAGCUUUGUUCAUUCUUUCUCUAAUCAAUUCUUUCCUAUUCCUUAAGUUAUACCAAGAAUGGAUAAUCAACAUUCUGAUACAGGUCCAAGCUUUGUCUUGACAAAGUAACUUUCUAUCUUAGUUAGCUGUCAUACCCAUACAUAUAAAAUAAGACAGGGAAUCCUAACUUAUUUAAAAAAGGCAACUGAGAAAAACUGAAUUGAAGAUGACAGAGACUAUGGCACACACAAGUUUUCUUAAUGUUACAAGCAGAUUAUGAACAAGAGGAGAGAAAUUCUAAGAUAGGUUGAAGCAAGUACUAACACUCAAGAGUUGACUAUGUGUGCAUACAUAUAUAUACACACAGAUACACACAUAUAUGUGGAUGUAUAUAUCACAUAUAUAGUGUGUGUAUAUAUAUAUAUAUAAAACUGCAUAUACAUAUAUUUAAUUGUUAAAUACACACAUCACAUAAAACUAGAUACUUUUUAAUACUACAAUAUUUAUUCAGGAUAUAGUAGUCUUGGCCAAGUCCAAUUAUAUAACAUGCCCUAAAAAAACCAAAAACUUUUAUUUUAGAGGGAGAAAACAUCCAUUUUGGAAUUUCAUUUCCAGCUCUAAUAAAUUCCAGUUAUUUUAAACCUAAUGAUUCUUCACAGUAUGUAUUUUUCCAGGCAUAGUAAUUUUUUUAAAAAUGACAAAGAUUUAUGAAAUGGGCCAGCUGCACAAAGUCCUUGUUACCUAAAACAGUUACAAAAAGAUUAAUCUAUUUGAUCAUCACUCCAGCCCAUUUUUGUUUUCAUAGGACAAGACCUCAAUAAAAGUCCAUUCAGUAGUCCUUACAUAGAUGCAUAAAACACUUGUUCUUCAUUCCUACAAACUGAAGGAAAGUUUCUUUCUUGGCAAUUAUUCAGGUCUUUGGCUAAAUGAGUGAAUACAAGAACUUUAAAACCCAGGUUUGAAACUCAAGAUCUACCACCAAAUCCCAAAUUCUUGGCACAUUUCCAAAUAAACAAGGUCACUGUCCCAUCAAAUGUCACCUCUGAAGGGCAUGUUACUUCCAAAAAUAUUUUAAAUAAGCAUAAAUAUCAGUGUAUUAGGUUAAAUUAUUAAAAAUAACAGAUUAUGAUACUGAUUGGAUAGAGCAAAUGAAAUAGAUUUAUAAGAUUAAUUUUUCACAAUUAAAUACUCUCCUCUAAAAACCUAAUUAGUAGUAUAAAGUACCAACUAAACCUGUUCUCAGUCAAGCAUUAUUAUUUAUUUUAAAUUGUUUGGCAAGAAGUUGAGAAACCACAAUCAUGGGCAUUUAAGGUCUAAAGCAAAGUUUUUUUCCCCUUAAAUGAUAACUAAAAUUUGAUAUAACGUUCCCACCCAGAUUAGCUACAAUGGUUCAAAAACUAAAGCCCAGGUACACAAGGCAUUUUUGUCUACUAGUCAAAACUGCUGAAAUGACUUUAAUAAUGCCCAAUUUUAACUUAGCAUUUUGUAACUAUAGGCUGGUUAAAUUUAUCUCUGAAAAAUAAAUCUGGUUCAUCAUGUAUUAAAAAUGGUUCUGUAAGUGACAAAAUCAUGUAGGAGAACUGUAGCCAGAACUGAAUCUUUAAUUAGUAUUCAAUUUGACUUUAAUGUGACCCUACUUUAUCUCCCUUUUAUUAAUUUGCAAGCUAGACAAAGUCAAAUACUAAAGAGUAGGGAGAAAUCAUAUAGGUUACAUCACUUAAAAAGGAAAAUCAGAUAAUUUAAUUAAACUUUCUAAAAAUUAGAAAAUUACUCAAUUUGAUUGUGACACACAUAAAUACUUUUUAUUUCUAAAAGGGUCUGUUUUAAGUGCAUAUGUCAAAAUGUUUCAAUUGCAGCAUCCAGAUCAAAAUUCAUCCUGUAAGGUCCCAGGGUCUUGUCUGGUAGUUAAUAAAGUGAAAGUCUUCAUUUACAGGAUGCUUUGAUAAAGGUAAACUACAAUACAUGAUGGAACUAAGCUACUUACUCAAAUUUAGAAAUUUUUCACAUAAUGAUACUGAUAACAAUAGCUGGUUUUUAUAUGUUUUAAGGUAUGCAGAGUAUUUGACAUGUCAUUGCAUUUGAUCCUCGCAACAACCCUGUGAGGUAGGUGCCAUUAUUAUCCCCAUUUUACAGAUGAGGAAAGUGAGACUCGGAGCUGAAGAGACUUAUCCAAGAUCAUAUAGCUAAGUCACCACCUGAAGCAGGAUUUGAACUUGGGUCUUCCUGGCUCCACAACCAGGACUUUAUUCACUAUACUACACAGCUUCCCCUUACAGUGCUAGAACCUAAAAUCAAAAUCAAAUUAAAAGUUGAUUUAAAGUCCUGUCUUAGAGGGAUUCAAGAAUUCCACAUAAAUUGUUUGUUGUCCGUGUAACCAGAGUCCUGACAAAUUCAAGACUAUCAGGUUUCCUCCAAUUCCUCUGUAACCAGCAUGUCAGUCAUUAUGAAGGACUAAAAAUGAUCCUGCUCUCACCAACUGGUCAAAGAGGUGGCAAAGCAAUGCCCCUAAGUAGAAUGCUCAAUUUUCCUAGGUGUUGCUUCAAUAAGAAGCAUAAAUGAGCUAAUAGAAAAAGUAACAAUGAAGCUUCUGGUUAAAAUACUUAGAAGGGUCUGUGGCUCACAAAACCUAAGCUGCUUCUCUGAUUUUCCUCAAAAUACAUUAACUCUAUGUCUGAAAGCAAGAGAUGGGGGUCCCUGAUAUUAUGAUUAAGGUAAAGUGUUCUUUUAGAACCAGUUACUUUCAGAUAUAGAUGGCAAUGAAUUGUUACUACCUCCUCUUCAGUUUCUAAGAAGGUAGUAUAACUAUAAUUUCUUCUUUUUAUCUCAUUAAAUGAAAAUAUACAGUUCUCUCUAUAUAUAGUGGAAAUUCAAAUGUUGACAGUUAACAAAGAAAAUUCUGAUUAUUGAAAUGCUGAAAAAUAUGAUUCACAGAAAAAUUAUUUAAACCAAACACAAGAAUGCAUAUAAAGGCAUAAAAUUAAAAAGAAAAUUAGGAUCUACUCUCAAUGAGAUCCACAAGCAUUUAAAAGAGAUCAGCCUACCAAUCUAUAUAGGAAAAACCAAGUCAGUUAAGAAACUAUUUUGCCCAGAUUAUGGCAUGCAGUUGGACAGUUAGCUGAUUGAGUUAGUCCUCAGAAAGUUUCUCUUGGAAGAAAUAAUGCACUGGGCCUAGAGUUGAAUAGGAUUACUAUCUGGUAAAUUUUGCAGCAUUUUAAUUUAUCCCAAUUUUUUCAACUUCAUUAUUCUCUCUGUAAUACCAUUUGUCUACAAAUUAUGGAACACUAUAAUUUCAAAAGUAUCAAAAUUGCAGGUAAUUCAAAUGGAAAGCUACAUAGUGGGUUUAAGUAAACUAUUGCACAAAAUAACUUUAAUUUUAUGCCAAAGAAAAAUAUUUUUUUAUUUGGAAACCUAUUCAACUAUCCUUAAGACAUUAAUAUUUUAUAACACAUCACUGCUAGUAUCUAUUUCACGUAAUAAAACCCUAAAAAUUUAACAUAUUAGGAGACAAAAAAGCAGUGUUACAAAUAUUUUACCAUUCUAUUAUGUUAAAGGGAUAAUAAAUAAAAAGUUACACUAGGGUAAAAUACUGAACAAAACAAAUAUGGAAUCAAAGUAAUCUAACUUUUUUCUCAUCUUUCCAUCAUACCCCCCCCCUUGAUAUACAUAUUAAAAUUUCCUCAUCUGCUUCUUCUAUAACAUUGUUUUUCAUAAAUCCAAAAAGAAACUUGUUCUAUAGGGAGCAUAAGUCUGAUAAGAAAUUUCCAACAGGUAGGUCACCGUGACCUUACUUGGCAGAAACAAAUAUAAAUUGUCUCAUUCAAAAGUUCUGGUUAUGCUAAGG